UACGAAGGGGGGCUAGCGUUGCUCGGAAUGACUGGGCGUAAAGGGCGCGUAGGCGGUUUGUACAGUCAGGUGUGAAAUUCCCGGGCUCAACCUGGGGGCUGCACUUGAUACGUAUGGACUGGAGUGGGGGAAGAGGGUCGUGGAAUUCCCAGUGUAGCGGUGAAAUGCGUAGAUAUCUGGAGGAACACCGGUGGCGAAGGCGGCGUCCUGGACCAACACUGACACUGAUGAGCGAAAGCCAGGGGAGCAAACGGG
rnacentral:rRNA from 1 species